rnacentral:rRNA from 1 species
UACGGAGGGUGCAAGCGUUAUCCGAAUUCACUGGGUUUAAAGGGUGCGUAGGCGGGCAGGUAAGUCCGUGGUGAAAUCUCUGAGCUUAACUCAGAAACUGCCAUGGAUACUAUUUGUCUUGAAUAUUGUGGAGGUAAGCGGAAUAUGUCAUGUAGCGGUGAAAUGCUUAGAUAUGACAUAGAACACCAAUUGCGAAGGCAGCUUACUACACAGUUAUUGACGCUGAGGCACGAAAGCGUGGGGAUCAAACAGG